GUAAAAUGACUAUCAUGAGCUUCGCGAAAUAUCAACUCUUUUAAUUCAGAAACAUCUGGAACGUAGAUUCGGUUAUGAAAUCUCAAGCAACCACAAUAAUCAAUGCUGAAAUUUUCUAAUAUACCAUUCUAACCCAUUUCUGUUUUCUUCGCCAACUUGUUAUCAUCUAACUACUCUAACUUGAUUUGAUCAAACAUCACCGGUUUGAUCUUUAAUUUAGCCAAUAGGAUUUUAUUGUUAUUGAUACUGAGCUGAACAAACAUUACUCACAAUUCAAUCGUUGCUUUUCUAUUCAACGCAUCAGCUACGAUAUUAGCUUUACCAGGGUGGUAAUCAAUAACACAAUCAAAAUCUUUCAGAAGUUCUACCCAAUGACGCUGUCUCAAAUUCAACUCCAUUUGAGAUAGGAGGUUUUUAAGACUUUUAUGAUCGGUAUAGAUAUGACACUUUUCACCGUACAAGUAGUGUCUCUAGAUCUUUAGAGCAAAAACCACAACAGCUAGCUCUAAAUCGUGUGUCGAAUAAUUACGUUCAUGCAUUUUCAGUUGACGAGAUGCAUAAGUGAUCAUUUUCUCGAUUCUGGUAAAGUCAAAACUAGCGCUUCAGUCAACAUCUGCUUCAAUUUCUCAAAACUUUCUUGACACUGAUUGUCCUAGAUAAAUUGAACAUUCUUAUGCAACAACUUUGUCAUCGGCAAAACCAUAUUCGAAAAUCCAUUUACAAAUCUUCGGUAAUAACCAGCUAAUCCAAGAAAAUUGCGAACCUUUAAAAUAUUCCUCGGUGCUUUACACUGAACAAUUGCCUUAAUUUUUUUCAAAUCAACUCUAAUUCCAUCUGCUGAGAUAACAUGACCCAAAAAGACAACCUCUGAUAACCAGAAUUCAUACUUACUAAGCUUUCCGUAUAACUAUUUUUUUCGUAACACUUGCAAAAUAAUUCUGAGGUAUUGAUCAUGCUCGAAUUUGGUUUUCAAAUAGAUCAAAAUAUUAUCAACAAAAACCCUAUUCUGGAGACCGAUACGGGUUAGAGGUAUUACAUUUAGUGGUAUCAAAACUUGUAGGUUUAGCUGAUUAUAGGACUAAAUUGAGCUCAAAAUUGAGUCUAGAGGUACAUGCCAUAAUUGAAUUGAAUUGAGUCUAAAUGUAAUACCCCUAAGCCCAUGUGCCAGGCCGUAUACCCUUUGAAAUGGCCUCGCACGCCAGUAUGCUAGCUGUGUGUCUCACAUGGCCAAGUCACAUGCCAGUGUGUCUGGCCGUGUGGACCUAAAAUGUGCCUUAAACAACAAAUUUACCAUUUCCUACAAGCUUGAACAUUAAACAACUCAAAAACCAUUCGUUUAACAUGUUCAAAAAAUGAUCAAACACAUUCAAAACAUGCCAAAACAAUCAUCCUAGGUGCCUAACCAAUGUACCCUCAUUGGUACCACAUUUAUAUCAUCAAAUCAUAUCAUCAAAGCAUCAUUCAAAUACAAAUUAUAAACAUACCAAAUUCAAUCCAAUUUUCCUAGUUCAUAAGCACUUAAACAUCAACUUAAAUUUACAUGCACAUAUCUAGAUUUGGUUCAAUUUACCAUGCCAUAAUAUGGCUUCAAACACAAACACAUGUUUAUAUAUAUACCAAACCAACAUUACACUUAUAACUUCAUUUACACACCAUCCACAAAAUAACUAUCAUUUAGACAUCCUAGGUACAUGCCGACAUAAAAUAUAAACAUCACCACAUUUGAGUUUGGGAUCGUUGUUGGAUGCUGAAUCGAUGAUCAAAAGUGAAGUACCUAAUUUUCGCACAGAAAAAUAAAGCCAUAGACUUAGUAAAAGUCAGUGGUAUUUCAAUAAUCCGAACAUUUAAAGACAAGAUAAUAUAAUAUGCCCAACUAAAUUAUAAGCACAUAUUAAUGUCUAGUAUCAUAACUAUCAUAUGCUAGUCUUUUUAAUUUAUACAUAUUAUCAUAUCACUUUAUAUUUUAUUCAAUUUACACAAGCUAUCAUAUUUUUUUUGUUAAACAAUGUCCCAAUUCACACAAUUGCUAUAUAAAUAAUUAUUCACAUAUCAAACCAUAUUUAUUUGUACAAUGGCAUUAGCCAUUCAAUACUCAAUUCAUGAAUAUAUCAUUUCAUACCAUACUCAAUUCUCAUUAGUUGCUAUAUAAUAGCUUUUCACAAUUUGAUCCACAUAUCAUUUAAACAAUAACAUUAUCCAUUCCAUAUCCAAUUCAUGAGUACAUAACUCAUGUAUCUUAUUUUCAUGUUUCAGAUCACUAUUCCAAUUUCAAUUCACAUACAAUAUCAUCCAAUAUCAAUCAUAGUACCAUUUAUUUAAUUACCCCUAUUAAUAUGACUCGAACUCGGAUGGAUACUAGGAUCUAACCAAUAUACCAGUUUAGCACCCAAUGCCUCAUCGAAUAAAUCCGAAGUAAUAUGCGUCCAACGCUAUAUACAUUGACACCCAGUGUCUCAUUGGUUAAACUGAAGUAAAUUGGCACCCAGUGCCUCAUAGGCUCGAAGUCGAAGAAAUCCAUGAACUCUUUCUAUCCUAUGGCAUGCCAUCUAUAUCCGACUCAGCCCGAUCAGUUAAUAGUGUUUAAUUUCACAUUUCAGAUAUAACCAAUAUCCAAUACUAAUUUUUCAUAUAAUCACAUAAAUUCAUUUCAAUUCAGUAAUCAAUACAUUCAAUAUAUAACUACCAAUUCGAUUAUCAAAAUGUCAAUUACUCACCUCAACGCUUACCAUAUGCAUUAAAUUAAAUUAUAACAAUUAACAACUAAGUUCGGAUUAUAGAAAUACAAAUCAAGAAUUUCGAGCUAUUCCAUGUCGAUUUUAUCUUUUCCAUUUUUAGUCGAGGAUUAGACACAGAACCAAACAAUUAAAAUUCAUUAAUACAAUAAAUUUUCAAUUACAUAUUGAAUAUUUCAAUUUUUACUCAAUAUUUGCCUAAAUUUCAAUUUAGUCCCUAAACCGAGACUAAUUUUUAUUCUUCAUAUUUGAUCUUAUAUUUUUAUACUAAUUUCACUUUAACCUAAAUUAAGCUGCCUAUUUUCAAUUAAACCCUUAAAUUUUAAAAUUUUCACAAUUUAGUCCCUAUUACUCAAAACUUAUAAUUUGUUCUAUAAUUUAAUCCUUUUUCAUUUCUAACUUAAAAAUCUAUCAAUUUAAUCCUUAAUACUAAAAUCAUUCAACAUUAAUAACACUUAAAAACUUAAUAAUUGCUAAAAUUUUAACAUGAAUUGAAUAACCCUAGGUACCGGGAUUCCAAAAACAUACCAAUUACAAGAAAAGAUACUAAAUUGACUAACAAAUUAAAUAUUUUAACAAUUUGAAUCCCUAGGCGGUGCGUCUCCUUCUUUUCUUCUUUCUUUAUCUUUCUUAGUUUGUAUGUUCUUUUCUUGUUUUUUUACCUAUUUUGUUCUAUUAUACUUUAAUUAUUAUUAUAUAAUAUAUAUACAUUUACAUUAUUAAGAUAAAAUAUUUUAACUUUAAUUAUUAUAAUAUAAGUAUAAUUACUACAUUGGCCCUUUAAAUAAUUUUUAAUUUAUAAUUCAACUUUCACCCUAUACGUAAUUUAGUCCUUAUACUUAAUUACUUUUAAUUCAAGUAAAUUCACUAAACUGAAACCUAAUUAACUACACCACUAACUUUAUAAAUAUUCAUUAAAAAUAUUUACAAACUUAAUUUACGAGAAUAGAAUUCCAAAAAUACACUUUCUGACACACCAAAGUAUGGGGUCAUUACAAGUAUAAUCAACUACCAUAUUAAAAACAUACAAUUUUGGGUUGUAUAAUAUGGUUUCUCAUUGGACAAGUUGACGUAUACCAUAAUUGAGAUUAAUCUUGUAUAGAAUAAUAAUGUCCUUCGAUUUUAGGAAAUUAAUUUUCUUUUUCGGAAUCAUAUUAUUGAAUGUUGAUAAUACUGAUUAAUCUUAUCCAGAGCACUUUCUAGAAAAGAUUAAACAGACAACAUGAAAUACUUUGACUGAGCAUUUGGUUGAGAAAUCUUUUAUCAGAAAAGCAACUAUCAUAGAUUCAAAUUAAAAAUUGUUACUAUAAAAUAUAAAUAACUUCUCCUAUCACCUUAACAUACAAAUAUAUAUUAAAACAUUUGGUUGACGAAAACUAAAUCAUACAAAUCCCAACUACGGUAUCCAAACGCCAUCCUUAAAAAAAAAGCUUCGAUUUGAUCUCUUUUAGUGAAAAAAAUGGCUGAAAAUCUUAUGCAUGCUUUACAAUAUAACAGCUAUGGCGGAGGCGCUGCUGCUUUGAAGGUUAAAAUCUACAUACGAUUAUUUAUUUUCCUUUUUUUUCUUUUUUUGUACUGUUUUUCUUCAUAUAGUUUUGUUUGGUUGAGAUAUUAGUUCGUCUUUUAAGUGGAGAUUUCAAUCAAGGUUGUUAAUUUAGUGUUUAUAUUGAUCUAAGUUUGUUCUUCGGAUUCAAAAUUCUAUUAGUUAAAUUUGUUAUUGAAGAAAGCGUGAAGAUGAUUCCAGUGAGUGCCGUGAGUUACUAAGGAAGUGGAAUUUUCUGGAACGGAAAUGAACUAGGGAUUUGGUAUUCGGAAUUAAAAUUUCACAAAAAGGAUCUGAGAUUGAGAGGUUGACUUGAUGGAGAAGUUAAGUCUUGACCCAUUUUAUCGUCGGAUUCAAAUUUUUAUUAGUUAAAUUUGUGAUUGAAAGCAUAUAGAUAAUUUGAAUUAGUGCCGCAAAGCACUAGGAUAGUGGAAUUUUCUGGAAUUGAAGUAAAUUAAGGAUUUGCUGAGACGGAGAGGUUGAUACUUUACAGUGAAGUUAAGUGUUUUAAAUUUUUUAUAUGGAACUGCUUGAUAUAAACUUGAAAAAAUAAUAGCCAGCGGCUUGAUGUCAUAACAGCUUUGAAUUUUGUGCUUGUUCCAGCAUGUUGAAGUUCCGAUCCCCACUCCAAGUAAAGGUGAAAUUUUGCUUAAGCUGGAGGCAACUAGUCUAAACCCAAUUGACUGGAAAAUACAGAAAGGGAUUCUGCGCCCAGUUUUACCAAGAAAAUUUCCCCACAUACCUGGUAGUUUAUAUAUUCUCGAGACUCUUUUCUUUUUAUCGAUGUUUGAACCAGACCAAUAGAGGUACCGGUCCGGAGAAUGGCUUUGAACCGGUACAGACCGGUUGAACUGAUGGUUUACAUUUGUGGAGUUUGCUUUAGUUGCAACUAUUGAUGGGAAAAAAUGUGUCUAUUUGUUAACUCAAGUUAUCAUUAAAGGACAGAAUUUGUCUACUUGUUAAGGCAUAUCCUUCUUUUAUAAUUAACCAACAAAAUAAUAGACUGGAUUGUAGGUCUCUUAGUUUAAGCACUUGUGGUUAUUUGAUAGUAAUUUUUGGCAUCCUAUUGUCAUAGAGCUAAUGCUUUUAAAACGUGAAGAUCUGAUAUCUCAAAUGAAAGUUGUCUAGCUAUAUACCAUUUGCAAGUUACAUUAAAGAACCUGUCUUACAGUAAGCUUUGCAGUUUUCUCUCUGUUGAUAUUUGGUUCGCCGCGUUUUAAUCAUCGAUUAAAGAUUUUUAUUUUCCUGUGCAGCAAGUGAUGUAGCCGGAGAAGUCGUAAAGGUUGGACCAGGAGUCACAAAUUACAAAGUUGGGGAUAAAGUUGUAUCUCUUCUUGAUCAUUUGGUAAGUUCUCAUUCUCAUUCUUAACAUCCCCCCCCCCAAAAAAAAAAAAAUACAGCAUAAAAUGUCUGGCCCUGUAGUCUCGUAUUAUAGACGAAUCAAUAUCAAUUAUGUACAUUGCUAUGGCCAUAUUCUAAUAUGAAUUAUAUUUGCAAUGAUAGACUGGUGGACUAGCUGAAUAUGCUGUGGCUACGGAGAAUCUGACAGUUGCAAGGCCACCAGAAAUAUCAGUUGCCGAAGCUGCUGGUUUACCCAUGGCUGGUCUCACAGCUCACCGAGCAGUCACCCAUGGGGCUGGGGUCAAGCUUGACGGAAGUGGCCAGCAAUUAAACCUCUUGAUUACUGCUGCUUCAGGUGGUGUAGGUCAUUAUGCAGUUCAACUAGCAAAGCUUGGAAACACACAUGUAACAGCUACUUGUGGGGCUCGUAAUCUGGAUUUUGUCAAAAGCCUCGGAGCAGAUGAGGUUCUUGACUACAAAACUCCUGACGGUGCAGCUCUGAAAAGCCCUUCCGGUCGCAAAUACGAUGUAGUUAUCCACUGUGCUUCUGGUAUUCCUUGGUCUACCUUUGAACCUAAUCUAAGUUCAAACGGGAAGGUAAUCGACAUAACCCCUGGUCUUAGUGCUUUCCUAACUUGUGCUAUAAAAAAGCUUACCUUCUCAAAGAAGAAGCUGGUACCACUCUUUAUGUCACCGAAAAAGGAGAACCUCGAUUAUCUGGUUAACUUAAUGAAAGACGGGAAGCUGAAGACGGUAAUCGAUUCAAAGUAUCCCCUAAGUAAGGCUGAGGAAGCAUGGGCUAAGAGCAUUGAUGGUCAUGCCACUGGUAAGAUCAUUGUGGAGCCUUAAUCUAUGAAAUAUUACUUUAUACUUACUGCAGUGAUGCUUGGAGGUCAUGCUGCUUGUGUGUAUAAUUAGGAUUUGUGUAUCUUGAAAAUUAUGUGUAUGAAAUGUAUAGUUAAUAUACACAUUGGAUGACAUUGCAAAAUUUUCUUAAUGUGUUAUAAGCUUUGUAUUCACAAAUUUAGCUCUUCUUUUAUAUGUUUCCUACUUUUCCUUACUUUUUCUAAUUGACAAUUUGAGCAAUGAAAUGUUGUUGGGACGUGGAGUUAUAUGUGUUUUUUUUCAUGUCUAUUUUAUAAUUAUGUUUGGAGUUAAUAACCAUCUUUUAUAAUAAUGUCUAUUUUAAGGUUAAAAAUACUUGUUGAAAAUUGUAUGGUUGAAAAUUGUAUGGAUUUUCAUUGGAUACAUAUUUCAAUGUUUUUUUUUAAAUUAAAGUUUAGCUUAUGAAUUAAAUUUCUUGUGAAUAAUAUCUAUUAUAUAUAAUAUUUGAAAGUUUAUUGAGCAAUUUUUUUAUGAAUUUUUUUAUGUUAGAAAAUAUUUAAAAUUUAUGAAAUUACCUUUUUUUAUCCCAUCUUCAAUUAUUUAUUGUAACACAUUGAUUUUGAUUUUAUAGAAUGUAGUAAAAAUUUUAAAAAAUAAUUAUAUAAAUAAAUGUGACAUUUAUCAUACUUUUAAUUCACUUAUAAAGUAUAAAAAAUUUUAUUGACAAUAUAUUAAAUAAUUACCUAUUAAUUUUUAUUAUUUUUAAUUAUAUUCACGUUUGAUUAACUUGUAAUAUCAAUUUAUUCAUCAAUUCAAAUAAUAUCCUCAACGCAUGUGGAGUCUAUUUUCGUUUGAAAUAUUUUUCCCAAGCCUUGCCAUCAUAUCUGUAUAUUUGUUACCUUCUUUAAGGUUAAUAAAUAAUGGCUUUCUUGUUUUUGGCAAAUUUUUUACGUAAAAUACUAACAAUUUUGUGUCUGAAAACCGAAAGUUACUUUCAAAUGUGUGCCUUUUAUGCCUCUUGAGUUUCGUAUUUUUCUAAAUUUUUAAUUUCUUUAAAUUAUAAAAUUUUUUUAAAAAAAUUAUAAUUUUUUAUAUUAAAUCUCUUGAUAUAAAAUUUCGCUAACAAAAAAAUAAGUGGUCAUCUUCACAUGUCAAAUUUAAAAUUUUGGCUUAAAUAUUCAAUGACUCAAAUUCAUUUAACUCAAAUUUUAAAUUAUCCAAACUCAAAUAGAUUUAAAUAUAAAAUAAUUUGAAUUUGAAACGACACGAAUACGAAACUACAAAACUCAAAAUAGCCUAUACAACCUCUAUAAAUUAAAAUGAUUCAAACUCAAAAUUGACCCGAUUUAAUACUAACUUGAACCAAUCAAUUGAUAUAAUUUACUUUUCUUAUCAAUAAAAACGGCCGCAAAAAGGCCAUUGUAUCACUUUCUUAAUAUAGGUACAUAUUGAUAUUGACAUUUUCGAUGUAUCAUUUUAAGUUUAUUGAUGUUUUUAAGUAUUUUUCACAUGUGAUUUUUUCUUUUCUCCAAGUUGUUUGCUUCUUAUAUUUUAUUUUGCCCAAGACAAUGUCAACCUUCAAGUUGGUUAUUGCUCGCUUUUUUCUCCUUCCAUCAAUUCUUUCUUUAUUUCUUUCUUCUUCUUAUUCACUCCACAUGUAUUCUCUCUUUUCAGUUUGCAGAUCUAUUUUGUAGGUAUUUUUGUUGUUUUCACAAGUUGUGAUGGAUAGAUGACGAUGCCUGUCGUUCGCUAAAACUUCACUGGCUACCCAGUAGCUUUUCUUGGAAAAUGAGUGGCUCUUCAUUACCUUCUUAAUUUGUUUCUGUUUUGAGAAUAUUUCAGAACAAUAAAUGAUUUCACGAUUCGAUUUGGGCUCGUGUUGUCUUAAGUUUUAUAUAUAUUUUUGUUUGUUUUUCCAUUGUUUAAUAAGUCUUCAGUUUUGGAAGUUUUUGAUUGCUUUUGUAGCACGAUUUUUAGUCUUGCUUAUACAUGUAAUCUUAGUUUUACGAGUGAUUUUUGAGAUGAUUUUGUUGUCGCCCUCUAUAAUUUGGUGAAUGCUUGAUUCUUUUGUCAAUUUUUCCUCGCCGCUUUGGACCAUCCGGGGCUGAUAUCCUUGUCAUGUUAAAUGCUUGCUGUACAAUCUCGAUUCUGCCCGGGCCUUAAAUGCCCAAUACACCCAAUUUGCCCAGCCCAAAACCUACUUUUACAAUCCCUAAACCCAACACUCAAAACCAGACUAAAUUAAAACAAGCCCACUACCCGGUUACAGGCCCAGUUACAUUUACAACAUAAGCCCACCUACCCAAUCCAACCCAUUACAAUUGAACCCAUUAAAACUCUUAACCCAUCAGACCCACUAACCCAAAACAACCAUAACCCAACAACCCAUUAAAUACCCACAGCCCAAUUACCCAUCUGAAUUAACCCAAUAACCCAAUUUGACCCAACAACCCAACCUAGCCCACCAAGCCCACAUCUUUUUCAAUUAAAAAAAAACCAGUCAAAAGAAACCCUAGGUGUGCCGCACCUAGGUCUCCCCUUGUCCCAUCCACCAUAGACGUCUGCCACCACCUACUCAGCACCGCUUCAACCACUACCUGCACAGCAAACAGAACACGCAACAGCAGCAAAGAAUAAGAAAUAGACAGUGUAACAAAUGGGCUAUAAAAGCCGAAUGGAAAACUAUUGUAAAAGGGAAGGAAAAAGUUUGUAAAAAAUACAGAAAAAUCAAAAGAGAAAAAACGGGCCAUUCUUCAUCAAUACGAACAACAAAUUUUAAAACAAAGAAAUCAGUUCAAAUCGAAGGAAAAAAAACAGUAAGUAAUAAGCAGAUUCAGUCCAAGGUAGCCAAUAUUUUUCUUUUUCAUAUGCACAUCCAUCUACACACAUAUACAUAAAGAAUUUUCAUUUUUUAUUUUUGAUUACACGCGUAUAUAUAUACAAGAAUAAAGAACAUAUAAAAUAUAAAAAAAAGAGCUAAAAAUACCAUUUUUUGAAAGUUCGGCCACCGUGUAAGGUGGCCGACGGCGACGGUGCUGCGACGGCGACGGUGGCCUUCCGGGCCGGAUUCUGGAUUUGAUCGAGAGAAAAUAAGUUUCUCUCUCCCUCUUUUUUUUCCUCAACACGCAGAAAUGAUUUAAUUUUCAAAAUUUUUUAACUUUUAUAGGGGCCUGGAACGGCGUCGUUUUAGGCCUUGCACUUAAGCACUGAAACGGCGUCGUUUUAGGCCUUGCACUUAAGCACUGAAACGGCGUCGUUUAGGUGCCGACCCGCGUGUUGACCCGACCCGCUCCAAGGAUCUGCGUUUUUUUUAUUGGAAGGGCUAAUUGCACUUUUAGCCCCUCCGCUUUUUUAUGAUUUCACAAUUAGAUUUAUUGUGCUUUUAAUUUGGCCCUACAAUUUGUUGCACUUUUCAAUUCGGUCCCCAAUGCUGCUGCGCGUUUUAGCUGGAGGAGUUUAUUGUGCAUUUGGUCCCUCUAGGUCAUGCGCGCGUUGCAAUUUGAUCCUGUUUCCUAUUUUAUUUCUAAUUUCACCCCAAUAAUUCUAUUUUGGUCUCAAUUUCACCCUUUUUUUUGUUUUCAUUCUUAAAUAUUAUUUGUAAUAUUAAUUUUGCUAUUAUUACUGUUAUAUUAUUGUUACUUAUUAUUAUUAUUAUUAUUAUUAUUGUUAUGUACAUUUUAUUUAUACUAUUCUUAAUAUUAUUAUUAUAUGUAUUAUCAUUAUUAUAAAUAUUAGUAUAUAUUUUUAUUAUACAUGUAUAUAUACUCUUUAUAUAUGGUAUUAUUUUUAACAUUAUUAUAUUUACUAUCAUAUUUAUUAUUUUUAAUAUAUUAUUAUUUAUUAUUUUAUUUUCCUUAUCUCAUUAUUUUAUCAUAUUUUCUUUUUGUAUUUUUACUAUUACUAUUAUUAUUAUUAUUAUUAUUAUGUAAUAAUGUAUACCUUUUAUGUACGUAUAUGUAUAUACAUGUUUAUAUAUGGUGUUACUUUAUUAUGUUAUUUUAAUAUCUUUAUUAUAUUUGCUUUUUAUAUUUUAAUAUUUUAAUAUUUUAAUUAUCAUGAUUACUAUAUAUUAGUGUGUGAAUUUUUUUUAUAUAUGUAUAUGUUUUUUAAUAUAUUUAUGUAUAUACUUAUGUAGGUUGUUACUAGUCGUUUUUAUUCUUAAUAUUUAUAUAUUAUGUAAAUAUUCUAAUAUUAUAUUGUAUAUAUCUAUAUAUAUUUUUUGUAUAUAUUAUGUAUAUAUGUUUUCAAUAUUGUAUUUUACGUAUAUUAUUAUGUAUAUAUUUUAAUAUUAUUAGAUAUACAUCUUUUAUAUUAUUUUAUGUAUAUUUCUAAUAUUAUUGUAUAUUUCUAACAUCAUUAUUAUUUAUAUAUAUAUGUAUGUAUGUAUGCAUUUAUAUAGCGUAUGAAUAGUUUUUUUAUUUUAUUAUCAUUUCUAAUAUAUAUAUUAUAUAUAUUUUAUAUAUUAUGUAUGUAUUGUAAUGUUAUUAGUUACAUAUUUCUUAUGCUUUUCCAUGUAUGUAUUUUUUAUAUCAUCUUAUGUACGUAUACAAACACUACGUUAUAUACGUAUAUAAAUAAUAUAAAAUUUUAAUACCAUAUUAUGUACGUAUUGUUAUCAUAUCUAUUUUUAUCCCUAUUAUAUUUGUUGUUAAUACUAGUACAUACAUUUUAGGAGUGUAUAUAUACUUUUAUAUAUAGUAUUAUUUUCAUACAUCAUUAUAUUUAUUAUUAUACCUAUUAUUUUCACUAUUAUCACUUAUUAUUUUAUUUUAAUAUUAUUAUGUUUUUCAUAUAUGUUAUGUACAUACAUUUUUCAAUAUUUAUUUCCUAUAUAUAUGUAUUAUGUAUAUAUAUUUUUUAACAUUACUAGUUAUAUAUUUUUACUAUCUUAUGUAUAUACUUCAAACACUAUUACUAUUUAUAUAUAUAUUUUUUACGUACAUACUCUUAAUAUCAUUAUUAUGUAUAUAUAUUCAUUGUUUUUAUUUCGUGUUUGAUACUAUUAUUACGUUUAACAUAUCGCAUGCAUUAUUAUUGUCCUUAAUAUUGUUGUCGUAUUUAUUAUGUGCUUCAAUGUGUUUCUAAAUCUUAUUUUUUUUCCUCGCCCAUUUUAUAUCAAUUGGUUGUUCACUAUUUUAAAGAUUUUUAUUCAUGUUUUUAUAAAUAAGGCAAUGUACCGAUUUAACAUUAAGCCAUAGAUUUCAUCGCUAUAUUGGAUGAAAUUUGUCGGCUCGUGUUAAAGACGGAACACCCUUCUAAAAAAACCGAAAAAACUAAAAGAUUUUCAUUUUUAAUUAGAUCAUGAUUAAAUGUUAAAUUGAAUUCGUACUUUUGAAAAUCAAGGCAACACGAGUUUAAUAAUGAUACCAAUUUUGGGUGUCGCGAGGGUGCUAAUACCUUACUCGUGCGUAACUGACUCCCAAACUCUAUUUUUCUCUAGAUUUUCACAUAGAUCCAAAUUCAGCCUUCAUUUUUGUUCAAGAAUAAGUUUUCUUUUAAAAAAAGAUGAUUUAUUAGGUGUCCGAUCACACCUAGAAAAAGGAUCGGUGGCGACUCCCCUUUUUAAUAAAAUCGAAAGUCAUUUUGAAAUUUUCAAUAAAUCGCCUCAAUUAGCGACUCGAAAGCUAAAAUUUUUAUGUCGCUACACUUGCAAUCACUCUAGAUAUAUGGUGCUUGAGUUGUGACAAAGUCAAUUGUCAACGUGUCAUAAUAUUCUAUUGAUGCUUAGGCUAAAGCCUUUGUUGUGUUGACAUAUUUUGUCCUUUACUAUAUACGACGAGUGUUUAUUAUUUUUUUUCCUGAAUUGUAUGGCUCCAUUCAUUGAAUGAAUUAAUGGAUUUCCCUUUAAAAAAAUUAUUCACAUAUAUAUAUUCAGGGGCGUAGCCAGGGGGGCUAGCAUGGGCCCCGACCCCCCUAAAAUGGAAAAUUUUAUUUUAGGCCAUUGAAAUUUUUUAAAAAUUUUAAAUUAGUAAAGAUAAAAUUGUACUUUGCCCCCCCUAAAAUUAUAAAAAUUCAAUUUAAUCCUUUACAAAUUAUAAAAAUAUAAACUAUAAAAAAUUAAAAUUUCAUCCGACCCCCCCUAAAAAAUUUUUCUGGCUUCGCCCCUGUAUAUAUUUAUAGUUAAUUUUAGUUUUUUUAAUAAAUGAUGCAUUAUUUUAGUUAAAAAAUAAAUUAUUAUUGUAUAUGUCGAAACCAUUUUCAAAUCGAGUUUUGGAAAAUGGGAAUCGAUUUUAAAAACAAAAACGGGAGUCGCCACCAAUCUUUUUAGGUGUGAUUGGAUCACCUUUAAAACAUUUUGUUUUAAAAUCAUUAGUUUUGGUCCACGAAAUAAAAGAACGGGUUCGGGAGUCAGUUACGUACGAGGAAGGAUUAGCACCCUCGUAACGCCCAAAAGUUGGUACCUAAUCGAUUAUCAAAUGUCUUUAAUGUCGGAAAUUUAAAAAAAAAAUUAAGAUGUAGUGCUCUUUAAAAUAUUUUAACUUUGAAAAUUGAGAUUCACUCGCGUCAAAGUAUUGACAUUAAGUUAACCCUUUUUGAAAUUCCUAUCUCGAAACAGCAAAACGCCAUAUCCAAUAAGUUAGGACACAUUGCUUUGAAAUUCCAAGAUAGUGGCUUGCAUUUAGAAAACCUUUAAAAAAACUUAGAAGGGUACUUAAUUAUUCGAAUUCAACGAGAAAAGUGGCAACCCAAUAAGUUAGGGCACUACUUUCUCGAAAUUUCCAAACACCAAGCAUUGCCUUUAUAUUUUUUGAAAUCCUUGAAGUCUCAUUUUUAAAAUCGAUGCAUGAAGGAGUGCAUUAACAUGAUAAAACAUAACAUACAAGAUAGUGUCGUAAUCAUUUUUUUUGAAAACGGGAUCGACUUUGGUUUUGAAAGUGACAAUUAAAACGGGAACGGAUUUGAAAUUCGAUCCUUUCUAUUAAUAUCGAUUUUAAAAUGCUUGAAUUAGCUCAAAUCGAUUGUUUAAAGAUUUCCUUAUCUCGAGAUAUCGAAAUAUCACAUCCCUUAAGUUAGGACAUAAUAACGUGAAUUCCCCAAGCACAAGGUCGUCUUUUAAUUUAAAUGAGAGUUUCGUGUGUUUUAAAACUCGAAAAGGAUAUUUAGCUAUUUAGAGAUAACGAGAAAAUUGAAACCCCGUAAGUUAGGGCACAAUUCCUCGAUAUCUCAAAAUGCAUAACAUUGCCUUAUUUGGAAAAUUUCGUUUUUGAAUAGUAGCGAAUGCAAUAUUUAAACAACAAGUGUUAUUUAUUUGGAGUAAAAGUGGAACGAUCCAUAUUGGAUAAAACGUUGAAGUCUAAUACACGAUACGAUGACGUGAGAAAAAAAUAUAGUAAUGUGCAUAGAAUGAUAGUGCGCGGAAUAAUAAUGCAUGAAUAAAAUAUUACACUAGUGAAUGACAAUAAUAUGAAAAUAUAAAUAACGAAUCAUAGUACAUGCAAUAGCAACAAUCAUACAACAUUUAAAUGAUAACAUCAAUAAAUAAGGACCAAUGAAUUAAAAUGAUAAAAAGGUAUAAAGCAAAUUAAAAUAAAUAAAGUGUGAACAAAUUUUAGAAUGAUAAUAAAUGAGUUUAAAAUAAGUAAUAUAAAAAAGGUGUCUUAAAAAUCCAUUACCACACAAAGUAGAAUUUUAAAAAAAUGAAUAAUUUUAUAUAAUAUGUAUAUAUAAAAGGGGUAAAAUGAUAUGUAAAAAAACCUAAAAUAAAUAAUGAUAAAAUCAUUUGAAAUAAGUAAAAUGGGUUUAAAAUAAAGUAUAUAAAAUAAUUUUAAAAUAAGUAAUAUAUAAUAGUUAAUUUAAAAUGAUAUAUAACAAGUUUAAAAAAACAUAUAAUAUGUAAAAGAAUUAAAAAGGGACAAUAUAAAUAUACUUUGUAAUAGUAACAAUUCAAAGAUAAUAAAGAGAGAGUUAUUUGAAAUACAUAAUAUACAAUAACUUAAAAUAUAUAUAAAAAAUUAAAAUAAAUAUAUAAUAAUUUUUGAAGAAUUAUAAAUAUAUAAAAAGCUUGAAAUAAACUAUAUAUAUACAUAUAUAUAAUAGGUAAGGAAUAAAAAAAAAUACAUAUAAAGUAGAUUAAGGUAAUAUAUAUAUACAUAAAGCAAGUUAAGAUAAAUAAUAAGAAUUUGAAUAAUCAAAACAUUAAAAUAAGUUAGAAUAGAUAUAAAUAAGUAACAUAUAAAAUAUUUGAAAUAAUAUGUAAAUAAAACAAACACAAAAAAAGGUUAAUAAGUGAAUUAAAUAGAUUUAGGUCAUGACUAAAAAUAAAUUAAAAUUCGAGGUAUAAAAGUAUAAAUACUGAAAAGUUAAUUAAGGAUAAAAACGAAAACCAAAUAGGAUCUGAGGGCUAAAUUUUAAAACAAAAGAAGACAGAAAAUGAGGCUGAUUGAAUGGGGGUUGAAAAGGAAAAGGACUAAUUGCAUAAAUCUCCCUUUUAGGGAAAAUGCCAAACCCCCCCCCACCAUACCAAACGUCAUCAUCAUUUAAAAACAAAACCUUUCUUUUUCAUUUCAUCUCCAGUUCCUUUUUUUUUCAACAGAGAGCCUUUUUUUUUUUGCUUUCUCUCAUUUCCCUUUUCUCCCCACCCCUUGGUUUCUCUCUUUUUGGCUAGGGUUUUAAGACCCAUCCUAGCCGCCGUCGUCCCGACUCCGCCAUGGGUGGUGGUUAAAACCGCAAGGGACGUUUUUAGGCCCGUUUCAGAGCUAUUCAAAUGCCACGUUUCCUUUAGCCCGAAGACGAGAAGGAAGGAGAUCCUUUUACCCCCUUUGGAAUCGACUCUGUCGACGGAGAUGAGGCUCCGUCGGCGCGGCUCUGGUGCGGUCCAGGUAAGUGUUUCCUUUCUUUUUGUUUAGAGAAUAAAUUUCUAAAAAAAAUAUGAUAUGAAAUAUAAAAAAUACCAAAAGAACAUGAGAAUAGAAAUCGAAAUCGACCUUCCUCUUUUUUUUUGCUUUUUUGAUUGCUUAAUAUGUGUGAUACAAUUUUUGUAUCUUCCCCCCACUUCGUUUUGACUUUUUCUUGGCUUUAUAGCCGAUUACAAUAGUAGAAAAAUAUUGUUUUUCUUUGUCUCUACCACUGUUCGUGUCUUGUUUCGGUUUUCUACUCCUUGUUUGUCUUUUCUUUUGCAGGUGUGGUCAGAGGCGUGGAGGGCAGAAGGUAUGGGCGAUGGUAUGGGACGCCUGUUUCAGGUGUUGUGCACCCUGAGGCCAGCACAUGGAGGCAGCGGCGCAAGGCUUGUGGAGCUAGGGUUUGAAUUGUUGAAAAGUUUUAAGAUAGUUGGGUUAGGAUUUUGACUUGGGCUUGGGUAUUGGGUUAAUGGGCUGAUCUGGUCUGUAUUUUGAUUUGUAAAAGGACGGUAUAAAUGGACAUUUUGAUUUUUUUCAAAAUUUGGUUUAUUUAUUUUAAGGCCCGGGCAAAAUAUAGGUUCUACAGUAUACAUGUAAAUAUAUCUCAAUUAUAUCCAUAUAUAAAUAUAAGUUUUAAAAUUAUUAAUUUUUUUUCAAUAAUUUAAUCUAAUAACUAUUAAUUUUAAAUUUACUUGUAGAAAAAUUAAAAUAGUUAAGAUAAAAAAAUUUAAAAUUAGCUGAAAUACCAAAAUUUUGUACUAGUCAGUACAAGUCAGUAUUGACCAAAAAAAGUUGAAACACACCGAAAAUUUAACCAAAAUGGAACGUAGACUAUUUUAUACUGGUUUAGAAUCGGAAUGGUAUGAUCAAUAACCAGUUCAUUACCAACUACCAUAUUAAAAGCAUACAAUUUUGGGUUGUAUAAUAUAGUUUCUCAUCGGAUAAGUUGACGUUUACCAUAAUUAAGAUCAAUUUUGUAUAGAAUAACAAAGUCAUUCAAUUUUAACGAAUCAAUAAAUGUUUUCGAAAUCGUAAUAUUCUGAUUAAUCUUUUCAAUACGAGUACUUUCUAAAAAGAUAAGUGUGCUCCACUCCUAUAAACAGAUAACCACAUGAUUGGAGAAACGCUUUGACUGAGCAUUUGGUUGAGAAAUUUUUUAUCAGGAAAGGAACUAUCAUAGAUUCAAAUUCAAAAUUGUUACUAUAAAAUAUAAAUAACUUCUCCUAUCACCUUAACAUACAAAUAUAUAUUAAAACAAAAACUAAAUAAUACAAAUCCCACCUACGGUAUCCAAACGCCAUUCUCUGAACUUCAUUUUUCCUUCAAAAUAAAGCUUCGAUUUGAUCUCUUUUAGUGAAAAAAUGGCUGAAAAUCUUAUGCAUGCUUUACAAUAUAACAGCUAUGGCGGAGGCGCUGCUGCUUUGAAGGUGAAAAUCUACUUCAUUACAAUGAUUUAUUUUGCUUUUCUUUUUUUUUUGUACUGUUUUUCUUCAUUUAAUUUUGUUUGGUUGAGAUAUUAGUUCGUCUUUUAAGUGGAGAUUUCAAUUAAGGUUGUUAAUCUAGUGUUUAUGUUGAUCUAAGUUUGUUCUUCGGAUUCAAAAUUCUAUUAGUUAAAUUUGUGAUUUAAGAAAGCAUGAAGAUGAUUCCAAUGUGUGCCGUGAGUUACUCAGGAAGUGGAAUUUUCUGGAACGGAAAUGAACUAGGGAUUUGGUAUUCGGAAUUAAAAUUUCACAAAAAGGAUCUGAGAUUGAGAGGUUGACUUGAUGGAGAAGUUAAGUCUUGACCCAUUUUAUCGUCGGAUUCAAAUUUUUAUUAGUUAAAUUUGUGAUUGAAAGCAUAUAGAUAAUUUGAAUGAGUGCCGCAAAGCACUAGGAUAGUGGAAUUUUCUGGAAAUGAAGUAAAUUAAGGAUUUGCUGAGACGGAGAGGUUGAUACUUGACAGUGAAGUUAAGUGUUUAAAUUUUUUAUAUGGACCUGCUUGAUAUAAACUUGAAAAAAUAACCGGCAGGGACUUGAUUUUAUAACGCUGUGAAUUUUUGUGCUUUUUACAGCAUGUUGAAGUUCCGAUCCCAACUCCAAAUAAAGGUGAAAUUUUGCUUAAACUGGAGGCAAUUAGUCUAAACCCAGCUGACUGGAAAAUACAGAAAGGGAUGCUGCACCCACUUUUACCUAGAAAAUUCCCCUUCAUACCUGGUAGUUUAUAUAUUCUCGAGACUCUUUCUUUUUAUGAAUGAUGUUUGAACCAGACCGGUAGGGGUACCAGUCCAGAUAAUGGCUUUGAACCGGUACAGACCGGUUGAACCGAUGGUUUACAUUUGUGGAGUUUGCUUUAAUUGCAACUAUUGAUGGGAAAAAAUGUGUCUAUUUGUUAACUCAAGUGAUCAUUAAAGGACAGAAUUUGUCUAGUUGUUAAGGCAUAUCCUUUUUUAUAAUUAACCAACAAAAUAAUAGACUGGUUUGUAGGUCUCUUAGUUUAAGCAUUUGUGGUUAUUUGAUGGUAAUUUUUGGCAUCCUAUUGUCAUAGAGCUAAUGCUUUUAAAACUUGAAGAUUUGAUAUCUCAAAUGAAAGUUGUCUAGCUAUAUACCAUUUGUAAGUUAUAUUAAAGAACCAGUCUUCAGUAAGCUUUGCAGUUUUCUCUCUGUUGAUAUUUGGAUCGCCGCAUUUUAAUCAUCGGUUAAAGAUUUUUAUUUUCUUGUGCAGCAAGUGAUGUAGCCGGAGACGUCGUAAAGGUUGGACCAGGAGUCACAAAUUACAAAGUUGGGGAUAAAGUUGUGUCUCUGCUUCAUCAUUUUGUAAGUUCUCAUUCUCAUUCUUAACCCCGCCACCCCCCCCCCAAAAAAAAAAAAAAACCAACAUAAAAAGUCCUGCCCUGUUGUCUCGUAUUAUAAACGAAUCAAUAUCAAUUAUGUAGAUUGCUAUUGCCAUCUUCUAAUAUGAAUUAGAUUUGAAAUGAUAGACCGGAGGUGGACUAGCUGAAUAUGCUGUGGCUAAGGAGAAUCUGACAGUUGCAAGGCCACCAGAAAUACCAGUUGCCGAAGCCGCUGGUUUACCCAUGGCUGGUCUCACAGCUCACCAAGCUGUCACCCAUAGGGCUGGGGUCAAGCUUGACGGAAGUGGCCAGCAAUUAAACCUCUUGAUUACUGCUGCUUCAGGUGGUAUAGGUCAUUAUGCAGUUCAACUAGCAAAGCUUGGAAACACACAUGUAACAGCACUUGUGGGGCUCGUAAUCUGGAUUUUGUCAAAAGCCUCGGAGCAGACGAGGUUCUUGACUACAAAACUCCCGACGGUGCAACUCUGAAAAGCCCUUCCGGUCGCAAAUACGAUGUAGUUAUCCACUGUGCUUCUGGUAUUACUUGGUCUACCUUUGAACCUAAUCUAAGUUCAAACGGGAAGGUAAUCGACAUAACCCCUGGUCUUAGUGCUUUCCUGACUUGUGCUAUGAAAAAGCUUACCUUCUCAAAGAAGAAGAUGGUACCACUGCAAUUGUCACCUAAAAAGGAGAACCUCGAUUAUCUGGUAAACUUAGUGAAAGACGGGAAGCUUAAGACGGUAAUCGAUUCAAAGUAUCCCCUAAGUAAGGCUGAGGAAGCAUGGGCUAAGAGCAUUGAUGGUCAUGCCACUGGUAAGAUCAUUGUGGAGCCUUAAUCUAUGAAAUAUUACUUUUUACUUACUACAGUGAUGCUUGGUGGUCAUGCUGCUUGUGUGUAUAAUUGGGAUUUGUGUAUCUUAAAAAUUAUGUGUAUGAAAUGUAUGGUUAAUAUACACAUUGGAUGACAUUGCAAAAAUUUCUUAAUGUGUUAUAAGCUUUGUAUUCACAAAUUUAGCUCUUGUUUUAUAUGUUUCCUACUUUUCCUUACUUUUUCUAGUUGAUAAAUUGAGCAAUGAAAUGUUGUUAUGACUUAGAUUUAUAUGUGUUUUUUUUUUCAUGUCUAUUUUAUAAUUUAUAUUCGGAAUUAAUAGCCAUAUUUUUUAAUAAUCUCGAUUUUAAGAUUAAAAAUACUUGUUGAAACUUGUAUGGCUUUUCACUGGUAGCAUAUUUCAAAAUUUUUUAAAAUUAAAAUUGUACUUAUAAAUUAAAUUGCUUGUUAAUAAUAUCUAUUAUAUAUAAUAUUUGAAAGUUUAUUGAGCAAAUUUUUUAUGAAUUAUAUUUUAUUAAAAAAUAUUUAAAAUUUAUUAAAUUACUUUUUUUAUCUUAUUUUCAAUUAUUUAUUGUAACACAUUAAUUUUUAUUUUUAUAGGAUGUAAUAAAAAAUAAAAAAUUAAUUAUAUAAAUAAGUGUGAACAAUUUAUACAUAAUACAAAAGUUAAUAACGAAAAUUAAUCUAAACUAUUAAAAACUAUUAAAUCUUGUCACACAUAAUAUAGGUGAAAAUGCAUGUAACAAAGUUUUAAAAAAAUGAAAAACAUUGAUAUGAUAACAAAAAAUGGAGUUAGAAAAAUAAAAAAAAUAAUAUUUUAUGUUCAGGUUUCAUUAUAUUUAUCUAUUUUUCUAGAUUUUAUAUAAAAAACAAAUAAAAUUACCCUUAAAAUUAUUUCUAUUACUAAUUAAAAAUAAUAAUUUUUUAAUAAAUUCACUCUUAAAUAUAGUGGAAUAAUAAAUAAUAGAUAAAUAAUAUAUUUACUCAUAAGUCUUCUCUCAAUUUAUAAAUAAAAGAAUAAUGUAUUUUAGCAUACUUAAACUUUCAUUCUCUUAUAUUAAUAAUAAUAUUCAUAUAAAUCAAACAAAUACUCAAUUUAACUUCACUCUAAGUUUAUAAUAUAUUAGAGAAUUAAAUAUGGUAACAGAUAAUAGAUAACAAAUUAAACAUUUCGAGAGAUUUCUUGCAAAAUCAUCGAGGGUGUAUCCGUCAAGUCAACCAUGUGGUCCCCAUUUGUUUAAAUGGUUAUGGCUAUCGCCUAGCAGUUAACAAUACGAAUCCCCACCUACGUUAUCCUCCGCCAUUCUCUGAACUUUAUUUUUCCUUCGAAAAAAAAAAACAAAACAAAACAAAAAAACUUCGAUUUUAUCUCUUUUAACGAAAAAAAUGGCUGAAAAUCUUAUGCAUGCUUUACAAUAUAACAGCUAUGGCGGAGGCGCUGCUGGUUUGAAGGUAAAUAUCUACUUUCUUAUGAUGAUUUAUUUUGCUUUCCGUAGUGUUUUGUCGCAUAUAUAAUUUUGUUUAGUUGAGAUAUUAAUUCGUUUUUUAAGUGAAGAUUGCAAAAGGUUUUUAAUCUAGUGUUUAUAUUGAUCUAAGUUUGCUCUUCGGAUUCAAAAUACUAUCAGUUAAAUUUGUGAUUGAAAAAGCAUGAAGAUGAUUUCAGUGAGUGCCGUGAGUUACUAUGGAAGUGGAAUUUUCUGGAACGGAAAUGAACUAGGGAUUUGCUAUUCGGAAUUAAAAUUUCACAAAAAGGAUCUGAGAUUGAGAGGAUGACUUGAUAGUUAAAUGUUGAGCGAUUUUAUCGUCGGAUUCAAAAUUUUAUUUGUUAAAUUUGUGAUGGAAAGCAUAUGGAUAAUUUGAAUGAGUGCUGCGAGGCAGUAGGAUAGUGGAAUUUUCUGGAAUGGGAGUAAAUUAAGGAUUUGCUCUUUUGAAGAGAUCUGAGACUGAGGCUGGUACUUGACAGUGAAGUUGAGUGUUUAAAUUUUUUAUAUGGACCUGCUUGAUAUAAGCUUGAAAAACUAAUAGCCAGCGACUUGAUGUCAUAACGGCUUUGAAUUUUUUUGUGCUUGUUACAGCAUGUUGAAGUUCCGAUCCCCACUCCAAAUCAAGGUGAAAUUUUGCUUAAACUGGAGGCAACUAGUCUAAACCCAGUUGACUGGAAAAUACAGAAAGGGAUGCUGCGCCCAUUUUUACCUAGAAAAUUCCCCUACAUACCUGGUAGUUUAUUUAUUUUAUCCUUUCACGACUGUUUUGGUCUUGAAAUAUUAUCGAGACUCUUUUACUUUUACUUGGUUAGUGGUAUUUGUAUUUAAUUUACACUAUCUGUUAAGUAUCUGAAGUUACAUCAGUCUUCAAUAUCUGGGUUUGUUGUAGUACCAUGUCAAAUUCCCAAUCAGUAUUCAACUUGGAAUCUAAUUUGCUUCGAUUUACAUUGUGAAGUUUGCUUUAGUAGUAACAAUUGAUGGGAAGAAAUGUGUAUUUGUUAACUCAAGUUUUUAUUAAAGGACAGAAUUUGUCUAUUUGUUAAGGCAUAUCUUUUUUCUAUAAUUAACCAACAUAAUAAUAGACUGGUUGGUAGGUCUCCUAGGUUAAGCAGUUGUGGUUAUUUGAUGGUAAUUUUUGGCAUCCUAUUGUCAUGGAAGAUUUGAUAUCUCAAACAAAAGUUGUCUAUAUAUCGUUUGCAAAUUAUAUUAAAGAACCCAUCAUCAGUAAGCUUUGUAGUUUUCUCUGUCUAUAUUUGGAUUGCUGCAUUUUAAGCAUUGGUCAAAGAAAAUUUUUUUCAUGUGCAGCUUCUGAUGUAGCGGGAGAAGUUGUAAAAGUUGGACCGGGAGUCACAAAUUACAAAGCUGGGGAUAAAGUUGUGUCUAUGCUCCAUCAUUUUGUAAGUUCUCAUUCUCAUUCUCAAUCCUUCCCCCCACCUGAAAAAAAAAAUUAGCAUAAAAGGUCUGGCCCUUAGGCUCUCAACUGGCAUGUCAUUAAUCAUUCUGAGAACAAUCAGAAAGGAGAUUUCUUCAUGAAGAGUGGAAGAAUCACCGGCAUUUUACUAGCUUAAUAGAUCACAAUUUGAAAAAUAGUUAAUGAUAUUUGUGUUUUUGGUAUUAGCUCAAGCAAUUAAUUGAGCACCGUGCUUGGUAGGACUUUAGGCAACAAUUCUUGAGGUAAAAUAUGGAUCUCCUUAUGGCCAAAAAAUCAACUUCAGAAUCCAACAAUGACAGAACAACAUAAAUUGUAGCCCCAUAAAAAGGAUUUUUAUGGACUGGUUCUACAUUUUUUGUUCUAAAUAAACCAUGUUGAUCUUCCAAUGAGUGAUCUUGAUUAGCUCUAGUUAUGAGAACUGGUUAGCAUUGGCCUGCUUGCCUGAUUAGAUUAAUCAAAGUAAAUUGAAGCUGUCAUCCCCAGAAUUUGAAAUCCUGAAAGCUUUUGGCUUUCUUUAUUUUGCUUGUAUUGAUAGUGAUGCUAGAGAAAUAUAGGUAUAUUCGAUGUUUCACUGGCCUUAUUACAACUAUAGGAUUAUCCUGAGACCCCAGAUUUUAUUACAACUUCUACUUUUCAUAUCGAGUCAUAUCGUGUUUAGAAUGCAAAAACUAUCUACGUGGAUAUCAUUUCUGAGGUAGUGAUUUUACUCUCAUCAUGUGGCCAUUUGGCUGAGAGAAACUUAGAUAUCAUUACUGCAGGCCAGUGGUUCGGUGAAUUUAUCUUCUAUUCGUAUUAUCAAUGAAUCAGUAUCAGUUAUGUCGAUUGCUAUGGCUAUCUUCUAUUAUGAAUUAUUUGCAAUGAUAGACUGGAGGUGGACUAGCUGAAUAUGCUGUGGCUAAGGAGAAUCUGACCGUUGCAAGGCCACCAGAAGUAUCAGCUGCCGAAGGUGCAGGUUUGCCUGUUGCUGGUCUUACAGCUCACCAGGCACUCACCCAGUCGGCUGGGGUCAAGCUUGAUGUAAGUGGCCAGCAAGUAAACCUCUUGAUUACUGCUGCUUCAGGUGGUGUAGGUCAAUAUGCAGUUCAACUAGCAAAGCUUGGAAACACCCAUGUGACAGCCACUUGUGGGGCUCGCAAUCUGGAUUUUGUCAAAAGCCUCGGAGCAGAUGAGGUUCUUGACUACAAAACUCCCGAUGGUGCAGCUCUAAAAAGCCCUUCGGGUCGCAAAUAUGAUGCAGUGAUCCACUGUGCAAUGGGCAUUCCUUGGUCUACCUUUGAACCUAAUCUAAGUUCAAACGGGAAGGUAAUCGAUAUAACCCCGGGUCCUAGUGCUCUGCUAACUUUUGCUAUGAAAAAGCUUACCUUCUCAAAGAAGAACCUGGUACCACUGCUAUUGUCACCUAAGAAGGAGAACCUUGAAUAUCUCGUUAACUUAGUGAAAGAUAAGAAGCUUAAGACGGUAAUUGAUUCAAAGCAUCCCUUAAGUAAGGCUGAAGAAGCAUGGGCUAAGAGCAUUGAUGGCCAUGCCACUGGUAAGAUCAUUGUGGAGCCUUAAUCUAUGAAAUAUUACUUUAUACUUACUACAGGGAUGCUUGAAGGACAUAUUGCUUGUUUGUAUAAUUAUGAUUUUUUUGCACUUUGAAAUUUAUGUUUAUGGAAUGUUUGGUUAAUAUAUUGCAAAAUUUUCUUAACGUGUUGUAAGCUUCGAAUUCACAAAUUUAACUCUGCUUUCAUGUGGCUCCUACAUCUCCUUGCUUUUCUUGCUUGAUAAUUUGAACAAUGAAAUGUUGUUGGAAGUUGGACCAUCUAGUGUUUUUUAUUUCCCAGUUAAUGGUUAUUUUUCCUUGUAAUAUCAUUUUCAAGGUUUAAAUUUGCAAUAUUUCUUUGAUAGUGUAGUGUCUCUUAUCAUUACAUUUAAUACUUGUUGGUAUUUGUAUACUUUUUUAUAUUCCAAUUUUUUUUAAAUUAAAAUUUUGCUUUAUCAAUAUUUAUGAUAUUAAAAUAUUUGAAAGUUUAAUUUUGUCAAUUUUAUUUAGUUCUAAAAUAUUUAAAAAUGAUUAAAUUUUUUUUAUUGUAACACAUUAAUUUUGAUUUUUAUCGUUGUCAAUUAAAUUGAUCUUGUGACAUUAAAUUAUUCAUCAGUUAAAAUUAUAUCUUUGUAGAGUUUUUAAAAAUAAUAUAUGGAAUAAUUAUUGUUUAAGUACAUAUUGUACAUCUGUUACCUUCUCAUCAGUUUGUACUGAUGAUUAAGAAUCAUGCAAUCUAUGGUUGAUGUAUGCGAUUCAAUCAAAAAUCUAUCAUCAUAGUUCAUGCAUUGACUAAUCAUUUCAACUGAUUUUUUUAGCCUUGACUAUAAUAAUUUAUUGGUCAAAUUUUACUUAUUUGUACUUGUAGUAUGCGUAAGGUAUGAGUCUAAUUUUUAUAAUUUAAUUUAUAAAAUUUUUGAAUUGAUUUGUUUUAGUUAUUAUGAUAAUAAUUAAAUUUAUUUCAAUUAAAUUUUAUUUUAAUUUUAUAUUAUGUUUAAAGUUGUAAAAUUUAUCCAUAUUCUCUUAUUUAGUAAAUCUUAGUUUUUCAAAAUUUGAAAUUUUAGUCUUGACGUAAAUGAUAAUCACUAAAUCUAUUAAUUGAUUUUUAUGAGUGAUAUGUUAAAAUAACAAGUUAACAUUGACAUAAUAUAUUUACCGCAUAAAAUUUUAAAAAUAAUAUAACUUAGUUUAACCAUUAUUAUUUAGUUAAAAUUUUAAAAAAUAAAUAUUCAAAAUCAAACAAGUUAAAGUAAAAAACUAAACACACAACUUUUAUAUAUAUAGUACAAUAAUAAAUAGUAUAAAUAAAUUUAAUCUAUUAACAAUUAUUAGAUUUCGUCAUAAGGGUGAAAAAUGUAUGUAAUAAAUAUAAUAACAAAAAAUAGUUUUGGAUGAAGUGAUAAAGUUAAAAGAUUAAAAAUCAUAAUGUUUUGAGUUUAAAUCCCAUUAUCAUGGCUAUCUAAUUUUUUAGAUUUUAUAUGUAAAAGGAUAAAAUUACCUUUAAAAUUAUAUUUAGUAUUGAUUUAAAUGAGAAGUUUUUGAAAUAUUGACAGAUGUAGUGUAGAGCAGGUUGAGCUUUGGGCGAUUUAUGAUGGACUCCUUCUGACGUGGGUGUUAAUUGGGCUAAUAUUAUUGUCGAUAAGAAUUGCGCUCAAGCUGUGGAAGCCAUUUUAGAUAAAUCUUCUGGGCAUUUGAACAGGGAUUUGGUCUUGAGAAUCCAGGAGUUAUGUAGGAGAUAAUGGUAGGUGAUCAUACAACAAACUCUUAAAAAAGCCAAUGUAGCUGUGCUUACACUAGUUAGGAUGAUGAGAGCUUUCCCUUAUGGUCUGAUAGCGUUUACGGAGACUUCGACAGUGGUCGUGGAGCAAUUACGAUUGAAUGUUCGGCUUAUGUGUGAUGAUAUUAGAAUAAUUUUAUAAUUGCUUCCAUUUUUUUAUCUAAAAAAAUAAGAAGUUUUUAAUAAAUUCAUUAUUGAGUUGUGACUCAAUUGAAAAUGAUAUUAAUUUAAUAAAAGACUUAAAUAUGAUAAUAAACAUUUAAAUAUGAUAAUAGAUAAAUAUUUUUUAAAUAUGAAAUAAAUAAUACAACUUUAGCAGCUACCAAAUUCAACAUUUCAAGAGAUUUCUUGCAAAAUCAUCCAGGGUAUAUCCGUCAAAUUAACAAUGUGGUCCCCAUUUGUUUAUAUUGUUAUGGCUAGCGGUUAACAAUACAAUUCGCUCCUACGGCAUCCAUACGACAUUCUUUGAACUUCAUUUUUUCUUAUAAAAAAAAGCUUCGAUUGAUCUCUUUUAGUGAAAGAAAUGGCUGAAACUCUUAUGCAUGCUUUACAAUAUAACAGCUAUGGCGGAGGCGCUGCUGCUUUGAAGGUAAAAAUCUACUUCAUUAUGAUGAUCCAUUUUGCUUUCUUUUACUUUUUUCUUACUGUUUUAUCAUAUAAGUUUAGUUCCUUUUUUUAGUGGAGACUUCAAUUAAGGUUGUUAAUCUAGUGUUUAUAUUGAUCUAAGUUUGCUCUUCGGAUUCAAAAUUCUAUUAGUUUAACUUGUGAUUGAAGAAAGCAUGAAUAUGAUUUCAAUGAGUGCCGUGAGUUAUUAAGGAAUUGGAAUUUUCUGGAACGGAAAUGAACUAUAGGGAAUUUGCUAUUCGGAAUUAAAAUUUCACGACAAGGAUAUGAGAUUGUGAGGUUGACUUGAUGGAGAAGUUAAGUGUUGACCGAUUUUAUCGUCGGAUUCAAAAUUUUAUUUGUUAAAUUUGUGAUUGAAAGCAUAUAGAUAAUUUGAAUGAGUACUCCGAUGCACUAGGAUGCUGGAAUUUUCAGGAAUUGAAGUAAAUUAAGUAUUUGCUCUUUGGAAUUAAAAAUUCCAAAAAAGAUCUGUGACUUAUGGGCUAGGACUUGAUAGUGAAGUUAAGUGUUAACUGAUUUUAUCGUCGGAUUCAAAAUUCUAUUAGUUAAAAAAUUGUGAUUGAAAGCACAUUCUGGAACGGAAGUAAAUAAGGAUUUGCUCUUGGAAGAGAUCUGAGACCGAGAGGUUGAUAGGUUGAUACUCUUUUUAUUUUUAUUUUUUAAAUUUAAUCGGCAUGCUUUAUUAAUACCACAAAACAAGACAAAAUUGGUUGUUUGGAAAACUCCACCCACAGCAACACUAAACCACCAAAAACAAACAAUUAAAACAAAAGAAAUUUUUUAUAUGGACCUGCUUGAUAUAAACUUGAAAAGAAAAUUUACCAGUGACUUGAUGUCAUAACAGCUUUGAAUUUUUUGUGCUUGUUACAGCAUGUUGAAGUUCCAAUACCCACUCCAAAUAAAGAUGAAAUAUUGCUUAAACUGGACGCAAUUAGUCUAAACCCAGUUGACUGGAAAAUACAGGAAGGGGUGCUUCGUCCAUUUUUACCUAGAAAAUUCCCCUGCAUACCUGGUAGUUUAUAUAUUUUGUUCUUUUCACUUUUUCUGUCUUGAAAUUUUCUUGAGAAUUUUUUUUGUCAAUGAUGUUUGAACCGGAUCAGACUGGCCAGUUAGACUAGGAAUAGGCCAAGGUAUUGAUCCGGAGAAUGACUUUGAAUAGAUACGGACCAGUUGAACCAACGGUUGGAUUGGGAACUAGUCUAGGUAUCAGUUUAGAGAAUGACUUUGAACUGGUUUGGAUUGGGAACCAGUACUGGCCGGUUCAACAGAUUAAAAAACCAGUUGAACCGAGUAUUUUUAGUUUUUUUUUUUAAUUGAACCAAUCGAAUUCAUCAAACCAGCGAACGAGUGGCCUGAUUUCUAAAACACUAUUGUUAAGUAUAUCUCAAGUUACGUGAGUCUUCACAAUCUGUUUUUGUUGUAUUACUAUGUUGAAUUCCCUAGCAGGGCUUUCUGAAAAAUUUACUUAGUAUCUGCCGGAUUAUUCAACUUGUAAUCUAAUUUGCGUCGAUUUACAUUGUGGAGUUUGCUUUAGUGGUAACUAUUGAUGGGAAAAGAAUGUGUCUAUUUAACUCAAGUUAUCAUUAAAGGACAGAAUUUGUCUAUUUGUUAAGGCAUAUCCUUUUUCUAUAAUUAACCAACAUAAUAAUAAGCUGGUUGGCAGGUCUCUUAGUUUAAGCAAUUGUGGUUAUUGAUGGUAAUUUUGGCACCCUCUUGUCAUGGAAGAUUUGAUAUCUUAAAUAUAUUUUUUUUGCAGCUAGUGAUGUAGCAGGAGAAGUCGUAAAGAUUGGACCAGGAGUUACAAAUUUCAAAGCUGGGGAUAAAGUUGUAGCCAUGCUUCAUCAUUUUGUAAGUUCUAGUUCUCAUUCUUAAUCCCCCCCUCCCCAAGUCAGCAUAAAAAGUCUGGCCAGUAGGCUUAGUUUUCAGAAUCAGAUAGGUGGUUGAACUGAUGAUACCACCAUUUUGAUUAAAUAAUUAAUUAAAAAAUAUAUAAAAUAUAAAAUAUAAAAUCUGAUUUAAGUGGUUCAACCAGUCCGUAUUGAUUCCUGAGUCAAAAGGUUCAAAGCCUUCUUCCGGAUAGGUACUCUAGCUGGAUCUUUGUCCAACAGUCCGAUCAGCUGGUCUAAUCUGGUUCAAACAAUCUUGCCGGCAUGUCAUUAAUCAUUCUGAGAACAAUCAGAAAGGAGAUUUCUUCUUGAAGAGUGGAAGAAUCACCAGUAUUUUACUAGCUUAAUGGAUCACAAUUUGAAAAAUAGUCAAUGAUAUUUGUAUUUUUGGUAUUAGCUCGAGUAAUUAAUUGGGCGUUGAGCUUGGUAGGACUUUAGGCAACAAUUCUUGAGGUAAAAUAUGGAUCUCCUCAUGGCCAAAAGAUCAACUUUUGAAUCCAAUAAUGAUGGAAUGCGCGUAAAUUGUAGCCCCAUAAAAAGAAAUUCUAAGGACUGGUGCUACAUUUUUUGUUCUAGUAAACCAUGUUGGUCUUCCAAUGAGUGAUCUUGAUUAGCUUAGUCAUGAGAACCGCUUAGAAUUGACCUGCUUGCCUGUUUGGAUUAAUCGGUAUCGUGUUUAGAAUGCAACCAUCCUUUGUCUACGUGACUAUCAUUACUCUCAUUAUGUGGCCAUUUGGCUGAGAGAAACUUAGAUAUCCUUACUGCAGUCCAGUGGUUCAGUGAAUUUAUCUUCUAUUUAUAUUAUCAACGAAUCAGUAUCAGUUAUGUCGAUUGCUAUGACUCUCUUCUAUAAUGAAUUAUAUUUACAAUGAUAGACCGGAGGUGGACUAGCUGAAUAUGCUGUGGCUAAGGAGAAUCUGACAGUUGCAAGGCCACCAGAAGUAUCAGCUGCCGAAGGUGCAGGUUUGCCUGUUGCUGGUCUCACAGCUCACCAGGCAGUUUCCCAGGCAGCUGGGGUCAAGCUUGACGGAAGUGGCCAGCAAGUAAACCUCUUGAUUACUGCUGCUUCAGGUGGUGUAGGUCAUUACGCAGUUCAACUAGCAAAGCUUGGAAACACACAUGUAACAGCCACUUGUGGGGCUCGUAAUCUGGAUUUUGUCAAAAGCCUUGGAGCAGACGAGGUUCUUGACUACA
rnacentral:lncRNA from 1 species